rnacentral:lncRNA from 1 species
GUGGCACAUAUACACCAUGGAAUACUAUGCAGCCAUAAAAAAUGGUGAGUUCAUGUCCUUUGUAGGGUCAUGGAUGAAGCUGGAAACCAUCAUUCUCAGAAAACUAUCGCAAGGACAAAAAACCAAACACCGCAUGUUCUCACUCAUAGGUGGGAAUUGAACAAUGAGAAAACAUGGACACAGGAAGGGGAACGUCACACACCGGCGACUGUUGUGGGGUGGGGGGAGGGGGGAGGGAUAGCAUUAGGAGAUAUACCUAAUGAUAAAUGACGAGUUAAUGGGUGCAGCACACCAACAUGGCACAUGUAUACAUAUGUAACAAACCUGCACAUUGUGCACAUGUACCCUAAAACUUAAAGUAUAAUAAUAAUAAAACUAAAUAAAUAAAUAAAUCUACGGGUGGAUUUUUCAGAUGCACUGGCAGAGCAAAUAUCGGUUUUAUAUAAAAAGUCAGCAUAAGCCAAUUGGAGAAAUGUGAGGGAAUGCUUCUAACUACUUCAUUACAUCCUAAUCACAAAAGCAGAAAGGACAAUGGAUAAAGACAAAAGCAAAUGUACAUUAUCACAUUUUGGCCCUAUACAACUAUUAGGACAAGAGAGGAAGGAGAAAAGCAGGCCCACGUCAGUUUAAAAAUGCCAUACACUGCACUCCAGGUCUGGUAAUCUGGCUCAACCAGAUUGAGGCUGGUAACCUGGCUCAACCAGUUCUGCGAUUUCACCCAAGAACAGAAGACAGCAAGAGAAACUCACUUUGACCCCCUAUGAUUCCAUCUCCAACCCGACCAAUCAGCACACCCCACUUCCCAAGCCUCUCCCCACCAAAUUAUCCUUAAAAACUCUGAUCCCGGGGAAGGCUUGGAAAGACAGAUUUGAGUAAUAAUAAAACUCCAGUGUCCCACACAGCUUCUCUGCAUGAAUUACUCUUUCUCCAUUGCAAUUCCCUUGUCUAGGCAGCGGGCAGGGUUUCUAGAAGGCUGACAAGGAAAAAAAACACAAACAAAAAUUUGUCUUACAACCAAUAGUGCGGAGGUCGGGAUGGGGGCAGAAGGGUGAGAACUAACAAAUUAGCUCGGAUUUUGGUCUCUCCUGGCCUCUUUCCAUCUGAGAAUUGGGGGAACCUUCU